rnacentral:rRNA from 1 species
UUACGGGAGUGGCAAGCGUUAUCCGGAAUUAUUGGGCGUAAAGCGUCCGCAGGCGGUCUUGUAAGUCUGUUGUUAAAGCGUGGAGCUUAACUCCAUUUCAGCAAUGGAAACUGUAAGACUAGAGUGUGGUAGGGGCAGAGGGAAUUCCCGGUGUAGCGGUGAAAUGCGUAGAUAUCGGGAAGAACACCAGUGGCGAAGGCGCUCUGCUGGGCCAUAACUGACGCUCAUGGACGAAAGCCAGGGGAGCGAAAGGGAUUAGAUACCCCUGUAGUCCUGGCCGUAAACGAUGAACACUAGGUGUCGGGGGAAUCGACCCCCUCGGUGUCGUAGCCAACGCGUUAAGUGUUCCGCCUGGGGAGUACGCACGCAAGUGUGAAACUCAAAGGAAUUGACGGGGGCCCGCACAAGCGGUGGAGUAUGUGGUUUAAUUCGAUGCAACGCGAAGAACCUUACCAGGGUUUGACAUCCUGCGAAUCUUUUGGAAACGAGAGAGUGCCUUCGGGAACGCAGUGACAGGUGGUGCAUGGCUGUCGUCAGCUCGUGUCGUGAGAUGUUGGGUUAAGUCCCGCAACGAGCGCAACCCACGUCGUUAGUUGCCAGCAUUUAGUUGGGCACUCUAGCGAGACCGCCGGUGAUAAACCGGAGGAAGGUGUGGAUGACGUCAAGUCAUCAUGCCCCUUACAUCCUGGGCUACACACGUACUACAAUGCUACGGACAAAGGGCAGCAAACUCGCGAGAGCUAGCAAAUCCCAUAAACCGUGGCUCAGUUCAGAUCGUAGGCUGCAACUCGCCUACGUGAAGGAGGAAUCGCUAGUAAUCGCAGGUCAGCAUACUGCGGUGAAUACGUUCCCGGGCCU